rnacentral:ncRNA from 1 species
UUUGCCUCAAGGCAAACCGUUGGAAACAGCGGGACGCAAAGCUAAAGGGGUGUCGGUCUGCGCAAUGCAACCACGUCAGCCAGCUGCCAAA